CUUCAGAAGCUUUUUAAUUUCAUUAGGCUUACAGGUGUGCUUCUCAUGGAUAACCACAAAUGCGCUGCAGCCUUCUGGUGGAGGUUCAUCAGCUGCAAUCUGUUGAAACAUCUGAACAGUUGGAGAAUAUGCCCGUAUGGAAAGUGCAAACUUCAACAGAUUGAUUUGGAAAUUGGAUAAAAAUUGUCCUGCUUUCUUCAAGAUUAAAUUGUAAUACGAGUAGUCUGUAUCUCCUUGCUUAUAAAUUGUUAAUUCUCGUACAGUUUCCAAGAACUGCCAAAACUUCUCAUUACCAUCUUCUGCAAUAAAUUCACUCGCCUCCAGCAGCAGUGGGGUCGCCGGCCAUUUCGCCGCCAGCCGGGCCGUCACGGCCGGGGAGGAGGCCGGAUCCCCGCGGCAGGGACACGGCCGCACCCGCAGGAGGACCAGAAGGGCGAGCAGCAGCCAUAACAUAGCGCGAACCACACUCGGACAAUCACCACCCACGCAGCUCCCGCUGCCC
rnacentral:lncRNA from 1 species